rnacentral:lncRNA from 1 species
CUUUCCUAAUUGACAGUUUGUUAAUUAUCUCCUAAAUGUCACUAAUAUUAAGAGUUUUUACUCAAAAAUUUGCUUCUGACUUAUAAGUGUUCUGUCUUUGAUUUAUUGCUUAUUAAAACAUCUCUUAUACCUGCAAUAAGUGAAUAUGAAACUGAUAUAUAUGUAUUUACAGUAAAUCGUUUUGCUCUUGGUUUUGGAUUGGGGUUUUGUUUCUUUUUUGUCUAAUUUCUUUCUUUUCUCUUGUUUAUUUUUUAGAGUUUCCAUUUUAUUAAUUUAUUUAUGUACUUAUUUAUUUAUUUGUUCUUAGGUAAUGGCUUCUUUUUCUUUGGUUGAAGUUUGAGUUACUCAGUGUCACACCAGCUUAGCCACAAAAAGCAGCUUACAAGAUGUGGAAAAAGACAGCCAGUGAUACCUUAUAAACAGUCAUUUUAAAUGCUGGCAAGCUGUUAGAGAAAGUGAGGGAAAUUAAAUUUCCCUGACCACUUGCACCUGAAGAACAUUCUCAAAUGUCAUUGAUUGCUGCAGAAAAGACAACAUGAUGUGUCACAUGGAUUAGUGCAUUUAUUUACUCUAUUAUUUUCAGUCUUGAAAUCUCUGUGCAAGUGUCCACUGGGAGAUCUUGUUCUUGGUCAGAGCACCUGCUUAUUAGAGGGAAAAUGGUGCAAAGAGAAGAAAUGCAUAUAUGGUAAUUCCUCAUUUUUCUUAAGUAUUUAAUUUAACCUUAAAUGUAUAAUAUGUAAACUCAUUUUUAGCAAGAAGGAGUUACACUAGGACAUUUUUUCCUUCCCUUUUUUGUGUUGAAACAAUUGGUUCACGUAGAGACCAACUAGAUUGAUUUAACUAGAUAGAAGUAAUAGCUUUUAUACUGAGAGAAAGAAUGCAGAAUUAACUGGUGUCUAAUAUAAAUGACAUUUCUGUAUCUUUCAGAUCUUCAUACACAACCCUCUGGAAAGCAGGCAGACAAAAUCCUGGGAAUACUGAAUAAAAACAGCAGUUGAUGAUCCGUUACA